GACGAACGCUGGCGGCGUGCUUAACACAUGCAAGUCGAGCGGUAAGGCCCUUUCGGGGGUACACGAGCGGCGAACGGGUGAGUAACACGUGGGUGACCUGCCCUCAGCUCUGGGAUAAGCCCGGGAAACUGGGUCUAAUACCGGAUAUGACUCCAUGACGCAUGUCGUGGGGUGGAAAGCCUUGUGCGGCUGAGGAUGGGCCCGCGGCCUAUCAGCUUGUUGGUGGGGUGAUGGCCUACCAAGGCGACGACGGGUAGCCGGCCUGAGAGGGCGACCGGCCACACUGGGACUGAGACACGGCCCAGACUCCUACGGGAGGCAGCAGUGGGGAAUCUUGCGCAAUGGGCGAAAGCCUGACGCAGCGACGCCGCGUGAGGGAUGACGGCCUGUGU
rnacentral:rRNA from 1 species